UGAAUUGCAGAAUCCCGUGAACCAUCGAGUCUUUGAACGCAAGUUGCGCCUGAAGCCAUUAGGCUAAGGGCACGUCUGCCUGGGCGUCACGCAUCGCGUCACUCCUCCACACUUUUCGUGGAUGGGGUG
rnacentral:rRNA from 1 species